rnacentral:rRNA from 1 species
AUUGAACGCUGGCGGCAUGCCUUACACAUGCAAGUCGAACGGUAACAGGUUAAGCUGACGAGUGGCGAACGGGUGAGUAAUGUAUCGGAACGUGCCCAGUCGUGGGGGAUAACUGCUCGAAAGAGCAGCUAAUACCGCAUACGACCUGAGAGUGAAAGCGGGGGAUCGCAAGACCUCGCGCGAUUGGAGCGGCCGAUAUCAGAUUAGGUAGUUGGUGAGGUAAAGGCUCACCAAGCCGACGAUCUGUAGCUGGUCUGAGAGGACGACCAGCCACACUGGGACUGAGACACGGCCCAGACUCCUACGGGAGGCAGCAGUGGGGAAUUUUGGACAAUGGGCGCAAGCCUGAUCCAGCCAUGCCGCGUGCGGGAAGAAGGCCUUCGGGUUGUAAACCGCUUUUGUCAGGGAAGAAAAGGUUCUGGCUAAUACCUGGGACUCAUGACGGUACCUGAAGAAUAAGCACCGGCUAACUACGUG